rnacentral:rRNA from 1 species
GAGUUUGAUCCUGGCUCAGAACGAACGCUGGCGGCAUGCCUAACACAUGCAAGUCGAACGAAGCCUUCGGGCUUAGUGGCGCACGGGUGCGUAACGCGUGGGAAUCUGCCCUUGGGUUCGGAAUAACUCAGAGAAAUUUGAGCUAAUACCGGAUGAUGACUUCGGUCCAAAGAUUUAUCGCCCAAGGAUGAGCCCGCGUAGGAUUAGCUAGUUGGUGGGUAAAGGCCCACCAAGGCGACGAUCCUUAGCUGGUCUGAGAGGAUGAUCAGCCACACUGGGACUGAGACACGGCCCAGACUCCUACGGGAGGCAGCAGUGGGGAAUAUUGGACAAUGGGCGAAAGCCUGAUCCAGCAAUGCCGCGUGAGUGAUGAAGGCCUUAGGUUGUAAAGCUCUUUACCCGGGAUGAUAAUGACAGUACCGGGAGAAUAAGCUCCGGCUAACUCCGUGCCAGCAGCCGCCGU